GACAGAGGUGCCGAGCGUUAGGCGGAAUCACUGGGCUUAAAGCGUGUGUAGGCGGCCUUCUAAGUACCUUGUGAAAUCCCACGGCUUAACCGUGGAACUGCUUGGUAUACUGGUUGUCUUGGGCCAUCUAGGGGCUACUGGAACAAACGGUGGAGCGGUGAAAUGCGUAGAUAUCGUUUGGAACGCCAAUGGUGAAAACAAGUAGCUGGGGAUGUGCCGACGCUGAGACACGAAAGCCAGGGGAGCGAACGGG
rnacentral:rRNA from 1 species